AGUGAACGCUGGCGGUAGGCCUAACACAUGCAAGUCGAACGGCAGCACAGUAAGAGCUUGCUCUUACGGGUGGCGAGUGGCGGACGGGUGAGGAAUACAUCGGAAUCUACUUUUUCGUGGGGGAUAACGUAGGGAAACUUACGCUAAUACCGCAUACGACCUACGGGUGAAAGCAGGGGAUCUUCGGACCUUGCGCGAAUGAAUGAGCCGAUGUCGGAUUAGCUAGUUGGCGGGGUAAAGGCCCACCAAGGCGACGAUCCGUAGCUGGUCUGAGAGGAUGAUCAGCCACACUGGAACUGAGACACGGUCCAGACUCCUACGGGAGGCAGCAGUGGGGAAUAUUGGACAAUGGGCGCAAGCCUGAUCCAGCCAUACCGCGUGGGUGAAGAAGGCCUUCGGGUUGUAAAGCCCUUUUUUUGGGAAAGAAAAGCAGCAGGUUAAUACCCCGCUGUUCUGACGGUACCCAAAGAAUAAGCACCGGCUAACUUCGUG
rnacentral:rRNA from 1 species